GACUCACUAGCAUUGGGGUACAGGGAUAAAGGAGGGGUUGUGUCCCCCAGUACUUUGAGAGAUCCAUUGCGUUAUGCCCCAGUGGACUCUCCCUUGAUUCAAACAAAGCAGACAGCACAGCCUGCCGCAGGUGCUCUCAGCGGUGACCCCAGCAGGCCGCAGCGGGAGGGGCGGGCGUCUGUCCUGCUCGGCGCCGCGCUCCCGCCUUUCUGAGUUGCCGGGAUGGCGGCGGUUGGCGUGUGGUGUGUGACAGGGCCGUGGCGGCCGCUGCUGCCAGAACAUGUGCAGCAGGAGAGCGGGGAUCUUGUCUAUGGUAGGAAAAGGGGAAGCAAGGUUAAAAGAAUGAAGCCAGCAAAGGAAAAAAGUAGUGCUUUGGGCGGAUUUGGUGUGAAAGUUCCUUGGUUUGGAAAUCAUCUUGCAAAGACUGUGGGAAAUGCUGCCCUAUGUGAGGUUCUAAACUGGCAGGCAGAGUACCUUUGUGCAUGAUGCGGAAACAUCAUUGUUACUUCACAGGCUGCUGGGAACACACUGAAGGCAAAUGGAUCAGACUGAGGAUGGUAUGCUGCUGGAAGAUACAGAUCAGAAGCAGUCAUCUUCUGUGGGCUGGAAAGUGAGAACUGUAACAGUAUAAAAACCAUUUGUAGGCUUUCUGUGCU
rnacentral:lncRNA from 1 species